rnacentral:rRNA from 1 species
AUACGGAGGAUGCGAGCGUUAUCCGGAUUUAUUGGGUUUAAAGGGUGCGUAGGCUGUGCGUUAAGUCAGGGGUGAAAUGCCGUCGCUCAACGACGGAGCUGCCCUUGAUACUGGCGUGCUGGAGUACGGAUGCCGUUGGAGGAAUGAGUGGUGUAGCGGUGAAAUGCUUAGAUAUCACUCAGAACACCGAUUGCGAAGGCAUCUGACGAAUCCGUCACUGACGCUGAGGCACGAAAGCGUGGGGAUAGAACAGGAUUAGAUACCCUGGUAUUCCACGCCGUAAACGAUGAUGACUAACCGUCGGCGAUAGACAGCCGGUGGCCAAGCGAAAGCGAUAAGUCAUCCACCUGGGGAGUACGUCGGCAACGAUGAAACUCAAAUGAAUUGACGGGU